UUUUCUUAACUAUUUAAUGCGGAACCACACCGGAGUUCCAGUCACUGCAAGCAGCUGAUGGAAUCGUGAGCAUGUGUGGUCCAGACCAAAUUUGGAUAAAAUGUCAUCCGAUUAUGUUUUUCACCAGGACCUUGUCUCCAGGUUCAACCAGGCAUGUUUCUUCUUUGUCCUCAGCCGGGUCAGGUCCAGUUCUGUGAUCCUGUGAAAGACUCAGGACACAAGCCUGCAAUAUUCACCUAAACGGUCACCCAUUACAUGCAAUUCCCCACCAAUACACUAAUCACCAGGAGUCCUCAUGUGUCGACCUGUAAGAAUUUCAAAGGGUGGAAGCAAAUGUUAAUUACUCGGUGUUAAUUACUUGGUCCCGCUUUCACGGAGAGGAGCACCGCUGGUGGCUACGUCACCCAGUCUUAUCCUAAAAUUGAGAACAAAUGAUUAGUUAGUUUGAAUUGAUUAUCCCCCAUUUUGUAUUGGGGGUUCCUGCACUAGUCAGGAGUCUCCUAUUCACCCACAAGCUCAAAUGUCACAAGUCAUUUAAAAUCCUUAUGCUUAAAUCCUCAAUUCUCCACAUACAAGUACUUUCAAACACGUUUCUGCCAAAUCCCUUCUUGCAAUUUCCCUGUAAAUCUCACUGGCUUUUCAGUGCCUAACUUCCUGCCGUGUUUGAGCAAGGUCCUCAGCGUCUCCCACAGUACUGCAGUGAAGGCAGUAUACUACCUUGCACCAAAACCCUUCUCUUCUGUUCAAUACUUCCGUAUUUUACUUCCAUCUUUCACAUGUACUUGAACCCUCCAAUGCUACAUACUAGUUCCUCCAUCUCUGGCGUAUUUACAUGGCCUCGGUUGCCCUCGGUAACCCCACAGAUCACCCACAGGUACAUUCACGGUAUUAACAAAAGUCUCAUGCAAGAUGCUACUUUGAGAAUUAAAAACGAUCCAUUACCUCAGUGUCAGCUUGAAGCCAACAUUGCUCAGCUUGUAUUUUACCUGAGAAACAGUGGAAAGGAUGGUGUUAGGAUCUGCCACUAGUGGUCAAUCAUAUGUGUGCUACCUUUU